CCAGCCAGCAACGGCAAACAGCGCAGGUCCGCUUCCCGUCUGUGGAAGCUUUGUUCUUUCGCUCUUGACAAUAAAUCUUAAUGCUGCUCUCUCUUUGGGUCCAUGCCAUCUUUAAGAGCUGUGACACUUACAGCCAAGGUCCGGGGCUCCAUUCUUGAAGUCAGCGAGACCACGAAUCCACCGGAAGGAGCAAACUCUGGACAUGGCAUGUGCUUUUGCAGGAAGGACGCUGGACUCUUGCACUAUAAGUUGAAAACAUCGCUUAUAAACAAUACAUCACAGCACACUUGCAGAGAGAGCACUGGUUCAUCAAAAUAAGAUAUGAUCAAGGUACAAAAGAGUUAAAGAAGCUAUUUAUUUUAAUGUUUCCUUGGAGAGCACACUUGUUAUUAUGCCUGCCCCAGCUUUGCCUUCCACCAUGAGUAAAAGCUUCCCAAGUCCUCCCCAGAAGCAGAUGCUGGCGCUAUGCUUCUGGUACAGCCUGAAAAACCUUGAGCCAAUUAAACCUCAGUGAGCUCAAGAUGUCUUUGUUGAAACAGAACCUCCCGAAGUUACAGUAUUGGUUUUGGGGCUCCACACAGAGAACACAUCACGGAAGCUAUAAUUGAGGAAGACAAAGCUGUCAGGACGACACCAAGAGAGUUAGAAAGCCCAAGAGUGGAGCAUUCUUCACCAUGAUUCCACCUGACACUUGGCUGAAAGCAUUUUGCACUAAUUUGCUUUGUGCCCGUUCAGACAAUCUAAAAAGAAAGGAUGGGGGGACAACAAGUGUCUAUUACACAGAAUAAACAGCCUCUGGCAAAUGAAUACAUUUUACACACUUGUGCUUUUGGAGGGAUGGGGUAGUGAUGAGGGGAAGGGGAAUGGAGGAGGAGAAGUCAAGGAUUAGAGGUCUCUUCAGCAUCUCAGGACUGCCUCUCUCUCUCUGUGGUCACAGGGGUAGGUUUGGUCCACAUGGCAGACAUGAAACUCAAGAUACAGCCCUGGCGUAUACGGGUUGGGAGGCCAGUGCUGCCUCUGGUGGUCCCCCCAGACCUGCAAUUCAUAUUUUGAAUGGGUUUAAAGCCUACUUGGCAAUUACUUUUAUCCUCUAAUGAAAUAGAUUUGAACCACUUUCCCUUGAUUAUAUUUUAAAUGUUUACCCCCAUAUAAAUAUAACUGCUCUGAGGUGGGAGGGGUUAAGCCUCUCCUAUGAAUCAAUUAAAGA
rnacentral:lncRNA from 1 species